rnacentral:rRNA from 1 species
UUCUUCCUACGGGAGGCAGCAGUGGGGAAUAUUGCACAAUGGGGGGAACCCUGAUGCAGCGACGCCGCGUGGGUGAAGGAGUAUUUCGGUAUGUAAAGCCCUAUCAGCAGGGAAGAACAAUGACGGUACCUGACUAAGAAGCACCGGCUAAAUACGUGCCAGCAGCCGCGGUAAUACGUAUGGUGCAAGCGUUAUCCGGAUUUACUGGGUGUAAAGGGAGCGUAGACGGAGGAGCAAGUCUGAUGUGAAAAUCCGGGGCCCAACCCCG